UGAUAAUUUUUGCAUGAGCUUGGUCAAAGCUUCCAAAAGAAGCUUUGACUCUUUUCCUCCUUAUCCAUGGCCGGUUCUUAUUUUCUCCAUAAGGCAUUUUCUUCUUCUUCUCUAACCUAACGCCAUUUUCUCCCUUGCAACAAAAAUCGAUCUUUUUUCUUUUUCUUUUUUUUCUGUUCCCUUUUCUUUCUUCUCUUGAUUCUUCAUUCUUCUAUCUUCUCCUUGUUCAUCAAUCCACCAUUCUCCACCCCAUUUUCAUGACAAACGAGCUUUGGGAGAGAGAAAAGAAAAUUUUAUUUUUUUUUCCUUUCUUUUCUUCAUUUUUCCAUUAUACACCACUUUCAUCACUACCUAAGCUUUUUAGCUUCGGAUUUGUGUUUGAAAGCCAAAAGGUUUCUAUUGAUCUGUAUACCUCCAAGCUCAUCCAGGUGCCAAUGGUACUUUAGGGCUUACCUGGAUUAGGACCUUGUUGGUGCUAGUUUUGUAAGUUUUCAGGAUCGAAGGUAGUUGGAUCCUAGGUCGAGCUGCUCCCUCCUAUUCAUCUUUCAAUAGGUUCACUACGACUCUCAAUGAUAGCACCCCCACCUAGAGUCACUCCGCUGGUUGUCAAAGGUCUGUUGUAUGUUUAUAUGUGAUAGUUUAAUGUAAAUUGUGAGAUUUGUUGUGAACUUUGUAUGUACUUGGUUUUCACGAUUUAAAUUUUGAGGAGAUUAUUAUUAGAAAUUACGAGUUCUAGAUCCUAAAGAAAAAAAAGAAGUGAUAGAUGGACUACUGACGGGUUUACAUGGAGAGGCUUGCUUGGGCAUAGUGAGCUAUGCCUAUUGGGCCCAUGUGUCGAUCAUGGCCCGGGGUUUUGGGCUAUGACACCCACAUUACAAGGAGUGAGGAUGAAAUCAACAUCUUCCCAUUUUUUCCCAUAUGUUGGCAACUCAAGUGGAAUUUUCAUACUUGCCCAUUCCUCUUCAGUUAGAUAUAUGGUGUACAGCAUACGGAUGGUGUCCUAUCAAAUAUAUUGACAUUAGCUUACAUGUCAUGCAGUACAAUACACACACAUAGUUUCAUAAUUGAAAAUUGUAUGAAAUAAACUUAUGAAGAAUAACAUAUCAAAAAUGCAUACACAUGUGUUGUAUAACUUGGACUUCAACCCUGUAAGUUGCUUACAUAGUACGUUGAGGUGUGUGUCAAUUUGUUCACUUGUCAUUUCACUUUCAGGGUUCUUUAAUGAUGUGAAAAACUCAAGCCUUGAUCCCCUAAGAUCCCGAUGUUAUGC